rnacentral:rRNA from 1 species
UCCACGCCGUAAACGAUGUCAACUAGCCGUUGGGAGCAUUUGAGCUUUUAGUGGCGCAGCUAACGCAUUAAGUUGACCGCCUGGGGAGUACGCACGCAAGUGUAAAACUCAAAGGAAUUGGACGGGGGGCCCGCACAAGCGGUGGAGCAUGUGGUUUAAUUCGAUGCAACGCGAAGAACCUUACCAGCCCUUGACAUUGAUAGAAUCCACUAGAGAUAGAGGAGUGCCCUUCG